rnacentral:tRNA from 1 species
UGGUGUAGUGGUUAUCACGUCUGCUUUACACGCAGUAGAUCACUGGUUCGAUUCCGUG